AGCUAUUCUUCAGCAUUCUAUUUGUAAUUUUAAAAGUGAUUACACAGAUUUAGAAGGAACGCUCCAAAACAAAUUUGAUGCAUUUAACGAUAAAUUAAACAACUUUCAACGUACGU